UCCUGGGAUAGUUCAGUUGGUAGAGCAUGAGACUCUUAAUCUCAGGUUCGUGGGUUUGUGCCCCAUGUUGGGCA